GGAGAAUUAGCUCAGCUGGGAGAGCAUCUGCCUUUCAAGCAGAGGGUCGGCGGUUCGAACCCGUCAUUCUCCACCA
rnacentral:tRNA from 1 species